rnacentral:lncRNA from 1 species
AUAUAUAUAUAUAUAUAUACACAGUAUAUCAUCUAUCAUUAUCGAAAUAAACAACGCGGCGUUGUCGAUAAGUAGCCGACAACGUGGCGGGCGUCGCGAUCAAGGGACUAUUUGUCAUGUUGCCAUCGGUCCAGGUGGCGGGUGGGUGGAACGGGGCGGCCAAAAUACGAAAAUACAUCCCUCGGCCACUUCUUCUUCCGUAUAUUCGAGGAGCGAUGGCGACCAAGGAGAUCCUCGAGCAAGAUUACCUACUUUUAUAAAGAAUUCUCGCAGAGUACCGAAAGCAAGAAGCUCCUUAUUAAAUGCACAAUGAGCAAGAGCGUCUGGCAAACGGAUUGUUUGGCGAUUGUAGAGAAGAGCGGCGGAGAGCGCUCGCCGAGAGAGAAGAAGGGAAGAGAGACCGAGAGAGAGAGAGGGAGAGAGAGAGAGAGAGAGAGGGAGGGAGAAGGUGGAUAGAAAAACGCGAGUAUGGAGUAUCCAAAAGACGGAAGUAGAACGGCAUACAAUUGGCGUUAAUUAACUCGGCAAAAAGCUGUACCGGGCGGAACAGGGAGAAGACGAAGGGCCUCUCCAACGGAAGGACCGCGCCACUGGUGUACGUGCGCUUCGAAAAAACUAAUCCACGCGAUGAAUGCGAUCGCGGCUCGUUUCCCCCCCUCGUGUUCCACGCUUUAUGCGCGGCGUAUAUACGACAAUCCGCUCGCAACAAUUUCUCGCUUCGCUCCUGUCCCUGUGAUAGGAGGACGCCGCGUGCGAGGAAUUCGAAUGGGGGAGAGACAGAGACGCGGGUUCGCGGGUGGGGAAAUAACUCGUCGCGCGAGCGACAUACGAUUCAGAAGAACCAUUAAAAAGAAACGAUUCGAAGGAUCUUUUCCCUUUCUCUCUCUCCUCUUUUCUUUAUCUUUCUUGAUAAUUCUUCUUGUUCGUUCGUUUCGACUUGAUUGAACGAUGGAAAUUCGCGCCGCUCGGCUUCGAUUCGCUCCUUGGCCCCUCUCCCCUCCCCGAGGGGUCGAAAAACUCGCGUAAAUUGGAAUAAAUCGUUACGUUCCGAUCGAAAAUCGUGCGCCAUCCAGGGAGUAGUAGAUACUCUACAUACGUUCUACGACGAUGGGUUCGGUUGCUGAAAAGUUGUUACUCCCCCUCCUCCCCCUCCUCUCCUUUUCCCCCCACAUUUGAGCCAUGUACACGUACAGAGUCGCGCGCGCGCCGCGACGAUUCGAACGGAAGUUACAGUCGAUUCCGAGGGAGGAUUCCGCGGUGGUGAGAAGUGACGGAAAUAUAUAAAAGUCGCUUCGACGAGUUCUAUAAAUGGUAAAAAAGUGGUAUAAAAUGAAACGGACACACAAUAAUGUUCAUGUGGCAAUAAAAAAGACAUUCGAGAAAACAGCUCUACCUCGAAAUGAUGCGACUCGCGUCGAAAUAGAAGUUUGCCCGCGUUCCGCUCGUCGAUCGAGUCCACGACGGAUGAAACCUAUUUGAUUGAUUAUACGCCACCUCGCCGCUUCGCCGAUCGAUCCUCUUCCUGGCUCGCGAUGGAGGAGGCGGAGGAUCGAUCGUUCCUCCUCCUCCUCCUCUUUUAUCUUUUUUUUUUUUUUUUCAUCGCGUGGACGCGACAUCGAGGAUUGUCGACGCGCGGAUAAUCGUGGUGUACGUAUUGUUGCGUCUGCACGUAAUUACUUGUAAUAAUAUUGCAUCCCGUGUCUACUACACGCGCGCGCGCGUAUGCACACGUAGUCUCUCCUCGUACGUAGCAUACGCAAGUAGUAUAAUUAUUUAUUAGAACGUGUCUAUUCGUAUUAUUAACGAAUUAAGUCGCACCAGUCUCCGGUAGUGAACCGUUUUUUUUUCUUUUUUUUUCUUUUUUAUUAUUAUUAUUACUUUUUUUUUUUCUCUUUUUUUUUUUCCUUUCCUCGUCCUCGUUCGAAAUAAAAAUCGAAUUUUCCUUUUAUCUUAUUCGAUCCCACUAUUCUUUUCGUGCACGUGCGCUGGCGCUCGUUGAAUACACACACACACACACACACACACACACACGUGGAGGCACACACGCGCAUACAUAUAGAAUAGACACGCGUGUUAAAAGCACGCGUGCAAUGCAUAUAUAUAUAUAUGUAUAUAUAUAUAUAUAUAUAUAUAUAUAGACACACACACAUACACGGUGCACUCGAAGGCACGCACUUGUACACGUAGGACAGUGGCGCGCGCGCGCGCGCGCACACACACGCACGCAAUCACGCGAAUUCUCACACGCAGAUUCACGCAAGAUUAUUCUGCUCGGAUCACAUGUACACUCGAGCGCCAUUCGAGCGACGAUCGUUGAAUAUCUCGAUCGACUCGUUUUACUUUUUUCUCUUAGAAUUUCAUCGUUUUCCAUCGAUCGAUUCGUCUCGAUUCGCCGUAAUCGAGCUCCUUAUUCUUUGUUCUAUUCCUUCUUACGUUUAGUUAAUUUCUUUUUUUUUCUUUUUACUAUGUAUAUAUAUAUAUAUAUAUAUUUAUUUAUAUUUAUAUUUAUAUUUAUAUGUAUGUAUAUAUGUAUGUAUAUAAUGGUGGCUAAAUUGACAAGUGUUUAUAUCGAAGGUAUAUUCUCUUCUUCUUUUUUUUUUUUUUUAAAGACCUAGGUACCUAGACUGGCAAUGUUUAAAGUAUGCACGCUCGUGGAUUCGCGGUUUCUUUUAGUUUUUCGAAUUCGUUUCGAAUCUUUACUUUUUUCUUUCCUUCCUUCUUUCUUUUUUUUUCUUUUUCUUAUUUUUCUUCGUCCGAUUUUCUCUACCUCGAUCUCCGUCGUUCCUUCUUCCUUCCAUCUUCCUGCCACCAUGUUUCCCCACUUUCGAUUUCUCGCGUAUCGUUAUAUGAUAUAUUUCGUAUUCGUUCGUCGUGAUU